AGCGAGGUGGGGGGUGCUAUACAUGCAGUCGAACGAACUCUGGUAUUGAUUGGUGCUUGCAUCAUGAUUUACAUUUGAGUGAGUGGCGAACUGGUGAGUAACACGUGGGAAACCUGCCCAGAAGCGGGGGAUAACACCUGGAAACAGAUGCUAAUACCGCAUAACAACUUGGACCGCAUGGUCCGAGUUUGAAAGAUGGCUUCGGCUAUCACUUUUGGAUGGUCCCGCGGCGUAUUAGCUAGAUGGUGGGGUAAUGGCUCACCAUGGCAAUGAUACGUAGCCGACCUGAGAGGGUAAUCGGCCACAUUGGGACUGAGACACGGCCCAAACUCCUACGGGAGGCAGCAGUAGGGAAUCUUCCACAAUGGACGAAAGUCUGAUGGAGCAACGCCGCGUGAGUGAAGAAGGGUUUCGGCUCGUAAAACUCUGUUGUUAAAGAAGAACAUAUCUGAGAGUAACUGUUCAGGUAUUGACGGUAUUUAACCAGAAAGCCACGGCUAACUACGUGCCAGCAGCCGCGGUAAUACGUAGGUGGCAAGCGUUGUCCGGAUUUAUUGGGCGUAAAGCGAGCGCAGGCGGUUUUUUAAGUCUGAUGUGAAAGCCUUCGGCUCAACCGAAGAAGUGCAUCGGAAACUGGGAAACUUGAGUGCAGAAGAGGACAGUGGAACUCCAUGUGUAGCGGUGAAAUGCGUAGAUAUAUGGAAGAACACCAGUGGCGAAGGCGGCUGUCUGGUCUGUAACUGACGCUGAGGCUCGAAAGUAUGGGUAGCAAACAGGAUUAGAUACCCUGGUAGUCCAUACCGUAAACGAUGAAUGCUAAGUGUUGGAGGGUUUCCGCCCUUCAGUGCUGCAGCUAACGCAUUAAGCAUUCCGCCUGGGGAGUACGGCCGCAAGGCUGAAACUCAAAGGAAUUGACGGGGGCCCGCACAAGCGGUGGAGCAUGUGGGUUUAAUUCGAAGCUACGCGAAGAACCUUACCAGGUCUUGACAUACUAUGCAAAUCUAAGAGAUUAGACGUUCCCUUCGGGGACAUGAUACAGUGAUGCAUGCGUCGUCAGCUCGUGUCGUGAGAUGUUGGGUUAAGUCCCGCAACGAGCCGCAC
rnacentral:rRNA from 1 species